AUUGGUGGGUAAUUGCGUACGGCUUAUGCCGUAUGAGGAAAGUCCAUGCUCGCACUGACUGCGAUGUCAGUAGUGUUCGUGCUAGCUGAAAAAAUAAGGCUAGGCAGCUUUUUAAAGUUGACGGCCAACGAAUGACCUAAGGGCUUGCCUAUGGUUUAAUAGUUGUUAAGGUGCCACAGUGACGAAUCACACCAGAAAUGUUGUGAAUGGAACGCGGUAAACCCCACGAGCGGGCAACCCAAACUUUGGUAGGGGCGCUUGACCUAGCUAAUUGAAGCGAUGGUCGGGGAGAUAGCAAUAUCUGAGAUAGAUGAUUACCACCACAUAAAGAAUGCCAUCCUUUGUGUGGAACAAAACAUGGCUUACAGCC
rfam:Weissella viridescens strain DSM 20410 Scaffold1, whole genome shotgun sequence.